rnacentral:rRNA from 1 species
GACGAACGCUGGCGGCGUGCUUAACACAUGCAAGUCGAACGGAAAGGCCCUGCUUUUGUGGGGUGCUCGAGUGGCGAACGGGUGAGUAACACGUGAGUAACCUGCCCUUGACUUUGGGAUAACUUCAGGAAACUGGGGCUAAUACCGGAUAGGAGCUCCUGCUGCAUGGUGGGGGUUGGAAAGUUUCGGCGGUUGGGGAUGGACUCGCGGCUUAUCAGCUUGUUGGUGGGGUAGUGGCUUACCAAGGCUUUGACGGGUAGCCGGCCUGAGAGGGUGACCGGCCAAGUGGGGAGAGUCAGCCGCCCUGGGCGCCGGCGGGGGGAAGGAGGGGGGAGGAGGGAAGGAGGGCCGGAGGCCUGAUGACCGACCGCGGCGGGGGGGAAGCGGGGGUGAGGGUAGUAAACCACGUCGCCCGGUGACAAAGCGGGAGUGACGGUAGUGGGAAAAGAAGCACCGUCUAACUACGU